UGGGGAAUAUUGGACAAUGGGCGCAAGCCUGAUCCAGCCAUGCCGCGUGAGUGAUGAAGGCCCUAGGGUUGUAAAGCUCUUUCACCGGUGAAGAUAAUGACGGUAACCGGAGAAGAAGCCCCGGCUAACUUCGUGCCAGCAGCCGCGGUAAUACCAAGGGGGCUAGCGUUGUUCGUAUUUACUGGGCGUAAAGCGCACGUAGGCGGACUUUUAAGUCAGGGGUGAAAUCCCGGGGCUCCACCCCGGAACUGCCUUUGAUACUGGAAGUCUUGAGUAUGGUAGAGGUUAGUGGAAUUCCGAGUGUAAAGGUGAAAUUCGUAGAUAUUCGGAGGAACACCAGUGGCGAAGUCGGCUCACUGGACCAUUACUGACGCUAAGGUGCGAAAGCGUGGGGAGCAAACAGG
rnacentral:rRNA from 1 species